UUUUGAGACAUAAGUUAUAUAUGAAAUUGUUGGCAUGGAACACUUAGGAAAAAUCGGGACCAAAAUUCAUAUAAUUGGAAUAAAAAAUCUUGCUAAAAAAAAAAAAAGGCCAUUUGGCCAUGUGGCUUUGGAAUGGACCCACACAUUUGGUGGCCAAUUUUAAUUGGUCCACCCCAUGUGUGGGCCAUGGACACUUGGACAAUAUUCAUAUAAGCACAAAAGAUGACCAAGUAGUCAUCUUUUCUACCAUUCCAACAUUUAAAAGAAAAGAGAGCAAGAAGUUGAAGAACAACUUCAACCACACGGCCAAGAACAAGAAAAAAAAAAAACCAAAUCCAAUUCAAGCCAUCCCAAAAUUAUUUCUUUGGUGUAAACCCACUAUUUUGAGGUCCCUAAGUAGCGUGAAAGUGUCGUUGGAGCGAUCAACUCAUUAUUUCUCAUUCUUGGAAACCCUAGGCUAUUGGGAAAUUGAAGAGAAAAGACCUUGGGGAGCCCGAGACGUAGAUUUGGAGUAGCUUUAGAUUGGCUAGCUUGGAAGUGCGUUCGAGGGGCUGCGUUUCAUGCCCGCAGGUACCGACGUACAGUUUGGUGAUCCCCAGUUUAGGAUAUCCCCUUCAGCUGUUGGAGUGCUCUUCUCAUUUCAGAGCAUACACUUUUGGUAUAUAUAUAUUUUGUUCGCUAUGCAUGUAUAUAUUUGUUUCGGGGUACGGCGGGGCCCUGUCCCGCCAUAUGAUUCGUUUGGUCGGUAUAGAGGUCUGUAGACGUAUUUGUGGGUGUGUGUGCCUGCUUCAGUGCAGUU